rnacentral:rRNA from 1 species
CAAGCGGAGGAACAUGUGGUUUAAUUCGAUGAUACGCGAGGAACCUUACCCGGGCUUGAAAGUUAGUGACGGAUCUUGAAAGAGGUCUUCCCUUCGGGGCACGAAACUAGGUGCUGCAUGGUUGUCGUCAGCUCGUGCCGUGAGGUGUCGGGUUAAGUCCCAUAACGAGCGCAACCCCUACCGUUAGUUGCCAGCAGGUCAAGCUGGGCACUCUGACGGGACUGCCGGUGUAAGCCGAGAGGAAGGUGGGGAUGACGUCAAAUCAGCACGGCCCUUACGUCCGGGGCUACACACGUGUUACAAUGGCAGGUACAGAGGGCAGCUACCCAGCGAUGGGAUGCGAAUCUCGAAAGCCUGUCUCAGUUCGGAUUGGAGGCUGAAACCCGCCUCCAUGAAGUUGGAUUCGCUAGUAAUCGCGCAUCAGCCAUGGCGCGGUGAAUACGUUCCCGG